UACGAAAGGGGCUAGCGUUGCUCGGAAUCAUUGGGCGUAAAGCGCGCGCAGGUGGUUAUGUAAGUUGAAAGUGAAAGCCCGGGGCUUAACCUCGGAAUUGCUUCCAAAACUGCAUAGCUAGAGAAUGGUAGAGGAUAGUGGAAUUCCCGGUGUAGAGGUGAAAUUCGUAGAUAUCGGGAGGAACACCAGUGGCGAAGGCGGCUAUCUGGGCCAUUUCUGACACUGAGGCGCGAAAGCGUGGGGAGCAAACAGG
rnacentral:rRNA from 1 species